UGGUCCAAUCGGAGCCAACCCAGGGACAUUUUCCUGGAGCGGCUGGGAAAGAGGAGUCUCUCGAAAUUCAGCAACUGCUAACAGCGAGGAGGGGGUGCUAGCCAGGAUCACUCCCUCCGAAGUCACACCAGAGGGAGGGCUGGAGGGAGAAUCAAAUGAAAGAGAGAGGGAGAGAAAGGAAGGAAGAGAAGGAGGGAGAAUGGAAGGAUGUAUGGAUUUGGAUGUAUGGGUUCCAUUCCUUCUACCCUGGCAAAAGCUUACUCAUCCUUCAGUGUCCAUCCAAAAUGGCAUCUCUUCUUGGGCACCAUCUCCAGAGUCUCCUGCAAGCAGGUAGCUACAUCCCACAAAACAACCACCCAUCUGACCAUGCAAGUGUGUGGGGGAAUGAAGACCAGCCCAGGAAUCUGAGAUGAAUGUUUUGCUUCUUGCUCUGCCACUGACUCACAGGGUACCCCAAGCAAGUCCCUUCACCUCCUCGGUCUCAGUUUCUCCAUUUAUACUACUAAGGCAGUGGACAUGAUGGCCUCAAGUCUCAACAUUUUUAUUCCCUGAAAAGAAACUCUUGGUGCUGAGUGGUCUUCUUCUGCCCUGACAUCUCACCUUUCAAACGCUUGUCUCUUCUCACCCCACCCACCACUUAGCAUGUGCUCUUGGAGAACACCCAGGACUCAGGGUCUCUGCACACAUCAUGAGUCCAGCUCAGCAUUUGAGGUGGAAUCAGAGGAAAGGAAGGAGAGUGGGGAGAAUAGUCAGUAUUUUGGCAAGCUCAUCAUACCUUCCCCCUUUGUAUAGAAACUUCAAACCAUUUCCCUUUGAAGGCACUACCUCCUUCCCCCAGUUAUAAAUGAGUGAAGGUCUCAAGCCUGGACAACCAAAUGCACAGUGAUUGGUUCAACUCUGGACCUGUGACUCAAGCCAGACCAAGGGAGUGACAUGCAGGGCUUUGCCUGGAACUAUUCUGAAAGGGGCACUCUCUUUCUGCUGGGCUACUGAUAAUAUGUGCAUCCGUGAUAGAAGAGCCUGCCUGAUAAUAAAGCCAAUAAGGGAAGAGCAGAGCCAAGAGAUGGUGGGAGAGCAGAUGCCUGAAAAUAUCAUUUGAGCCCCUGGGUCCAGCUGCACCUGAAGCCACCACGAUCUCCUGGACUUUGCAGUUACUUGAGUUCAUAAAUACCCUUUGGCAUUAAGCCAGAUUGAGUCUUAAUGCAUAUAGAAAUAAGAGAAAUGAGAAAAGAAAUUGAAAAGAGAGACAGCAGAGAACUGAUUCUCUACUAGAGCCUCCAGAAGGAAUCAACUCUGCCAACACCUUGAUUUUGGACUUGUGGCCUUCAGAACAGUGAAAUGAUAAACAUCUGUUAUUUUAAGGUACCUAGUGUGUAACAUUCCGUCAUGACAGCCCUAGGAAAUGAAUACAGCGAGGAAAAUCCUACCAGCACAAAGGCAUGGAGGUGCCAGGAUGUCUCCUCUGCGUGAAGAGUAGAUGUAGAUGAGGCUGGAAUUAUCUAUCCUAGCUGCCCAGACCCAUGUGCCUUUGUUUUAUGUAGUUACAGCACCUAUGAUACAUAUUUGUUACCAUGUAUGUCACUAUGAACCUCCUCUGGAGGACGGAGAAGUCAAAUACCUUAAUUAUUCCAACACAAGCUUGCGUGAACAGAUAAUCAUCACUACGAGUAUAUUGUGUGCCUGCUAAGCACCACACCUGAGAUAAGCAUUUGCUGUGGUUUGAAUGUCCCCUCCAAAGCUCAUGCUAAAAUUUAAUUGCCAUUGCAACAGUGUUGCAAGGUGAGAACUUUAAGAGAUGAUCAGGUCAUGAGAACUCUGCCCUCGUGAAUGGAUUAAUACCCUUAUCGCAGUAGUGGACCCCCCUUUUCUCUUGCUGUCUGUCUCUCAUGUUAGCUUGUGCUUCCUCCUUUCACCAUGGGAUAACACAGCAAGAAGCCCCUCACCAGAUGCUGGCACCUUGCUAUUGGACUUCCGGCCUCCAGAACUGAGAAAUACAUGUCUUUUCCUUAUAAAUUACCCAGUCUGUGGUAUUCUGUUAUAGCGGCAGAAAAUGGACUAAGACGGCAUUUUGCAUACAUUAUCUGUCUUAUUAAAAAUAAUGUUUUUGCCCAGGAA
ensembl:lncRNA LINC01234 long intergenic non-protein coding RNA 1234